GGGGUUGGCGAGAACCAAAUCAGAGAGCUAAGCAUGUAGAACUGCCCGAUGAAGGCUUGCGGACGCGGGUUCAAUUCCCGCCGGCUCCACCA
rnacentral:tRNA from 3 species